UUGAAAGGGAAACGAUUGAAGUCAGUCGUACCUGUGGGUAAUCAGCCUUUUGGGUGUGAUUUUGUGGAGUGUGAGGAGUUAAACGCCUUCAUGCCUGCAUAUUCGUGCACUUUGGGUGUAUUUACCCGUGUGGUAAGUUAACAUCAAUUUCGGUGGUCAUAAAAUGGCUGGAGGAAUGUAGCUUCGAUCUUGUAUUGAAGUGUUAUAGCCUUCGGUAGAUGUGAUAAUCGGGAUUGAGGAUUGCAACGGAUACCCCUCGGGGCUACCUGUCUGAUCUCUGAUCGUUGCUCUGGUGCCGAAAGCUUGCUUACGGUUAUCAAAGUCGAUGGUCAAUAGGUUAGAAUGGGUUAAAUUCGUUAAGGAUGUUGACGUA
rnacentral:rRNA from 1 species